rnacentral:lncRNA from 1 species
GUAUUCCUGCGCUGCAGCCCUCCUUGUCUAGCAGCUUGCUUUCCUUGCCCUGAUUAACUCUUUAUCCCCAAAAUAUGCACAACUUUUCCCCACACGACCGUGUCUGUUUGCACAUGAACGCAUGCCGAACACUCUCGAACCAAUCUUGAUCCAAUUGUGCACGAAAACUACAAUAAGUUAGCUGCAAUCACAUCAUUUCCCCUUAUUCCUCUUCCAAAUGCUAAUUCUACAAAAACACACUAAAACAAAUAAAAAGAAACAUAAUAAACUCAAAAACAGGCAAUUUCAAUAAGUCAAAGGUACUAAAAUUAUGAUAUAAAAACCACUCAUCAUGAAGUUUUAUAUAAUUUAUAGAUAUACAUAUUUGUAUAUAAUAACUAAAUUAUAUCUACAUAACCAUAAGCAAGCGCUUAACUUGAAGUAUAAGUUCAAUUAAAAUACUAGCGCCUAUCAUAACGUAUCUGUAAGUAUUCCUGGAAUAUUCAGAAGUAUCCUUUAUUAAAAAGAUUACAAAAAAUAGUUGAAGUAUCUGAUAUGUAUCUAGAAGUGUCUGUGGAUCUGACACGGAUACGUCGACCUCAAGAAGUGUCCUUGGACCGUGCUUCAUAGAGGUAAAGAUUAAAGAAACUAGGAAUUUGUCUCCCUGAUUAUGUAUGUGAUGAGUCUAACUUUUUCAUGGUAUUAAAUUUUCAAAGAGGGUGAACUGGUGCAGAUCUUUUCGUUUGUCAUGUGCUUUUACUUAUGUACAGGGGCGGAUCCAGCCGUCAAACCCAGUGGGGUCAAAUUCGCAAAAAAAAAAAUCCCUUAAAAAUAAAAAUUGUAGCUAUAUGUAUAUAUACUUUUUAAAAUCUAGUAUAAUUUCUCAACACUUAAAUCGUUAAAUUUAAUAUAUAUAUAUAUAUAUAUAUUCAUAAUUUUCUUAUAAAGAAAAUACUAGAAUGGUUUUUUUAUCAGCAUUUUUUUUUAUUAAAAACUCAAUGUAAUACAAAUGUGACAAAUUCAAAAGAUUUGGAUAAGGCCACACGGAGUUGCAUUACAAAUAUUAAAAACCCAAUUUUCAUACAAGCAAACCAACUAAGCCCAAAAGCCCAUCCGGCUUAAACCUAUGUGCAGCAGCCCAUAACUAAUUAGAAUUGAAAAUCAAGGGGCCCAAUUGCUUUUCAAGUCAGCCCAAUUGUCGCACCUACCAGCAGGGAUCCACACAUAUGAAAUUUGAAACUAAAACCAUGGGCCCAAUUACAUUAGCCCAUGAGCUGAAACCACACCAACCAAACCAUGUACUGGAAAAACCGUAUGCUGCCAACAAACUGACAACACCUGUUGCUCAUCAACCAAAUCCAGCGAACUGUAGAGACAAUCACGGCCAGGACUCCAUAAGAUGUACGAAAGCAUAAAUGAUUUUGGAUGAAAAUCACCGGCAAUGAAAAAUCCCACAUAAUCCGGCAAGGAACAUAACCCAGAAUCCAGAUUAUUAUACUGGAAGAUAAAAUCAAUUUGAACGAAAAUGCAAACAGAUCAAAAUAAGAACACCCAAACUGAUUAAUCAAAGGGAAAAUUCAAUAGAAUCGCUAGAAAUCAGCAUAGGACUCCCAAAUUUGGUAAUGACAAAAUCACAUCCAUAGACCAAAAUGGAAAUACACAAAUCUGAUUAAAGGACAAGAUAAUCAAAAUGCAAACAAUUAAUUAGAUUUGAAGCAUAAUCAACUUCCCUAACAACACCAGAAAUAACCAUAUCAGAUCGAGAAGUAGGGAGGAGAAAUAACCAAAUCUGGAUAAAAUCGAAGCAGAUCAAAAUGCAACAGCCAACAAGCUACAACAAGCUACUCUAUUUUGAAGCUAGAAAAUUCAGUGGGGGCAGGUGCCCCCUGCCCCAGGCAUAGAUCCGCCCCUGAAUAAACACCUGCAUGAAAAAUAUAUCAGCGGCUCUUUGAGGACCAUGAGGAAUGAAAGAGAGAGUUUGCAUCCUAUGUGUGAAAGUGAUGGAUCUCAUGUCGCAAAGAUUCGAUAAAACUCAGUAGAUUAUUAAGAGCUGAGGUGAGCGGAGUACUGCCUCGAGGCUCCACCCACAUGAGGAAUUGGGUAGUAAGGGAUCACUUGAAGAACAAUACCACGUGAGCUCAGUGGAAUAUUGCAAAUCGAGAAUGUAGCAAACAAGGCUCUCAAGCCACAAAACUCAAA